rnacentral:lncRNA from 1 species
AUAUCAAAAGACUUGACGAAGGACCAAACCCGCACUACAACAAAAACGGUGUAUAGCGACACUUUUAAAUGUCGGUAUAGAUCAAAAAAAGUGUUGCUGGCUAAAUUACCGACACUUUUAAAAAGUGUUGCUAUAUAUGGGGUCGCUAGGUAUAUAGUGACAGUUAAAAGUGUCGGUAUAACCUAAAAAUAGUGUUGCUAAUUUACCAACACUUAUUUAAGCAUUUAUCAACUGCCGGAACUCUACUUCGUUGGCUGCGGUGGCCGAGGAGGAGGAGAGGGAAGGGCUCUUCGUUUAGAAUUUCAGUGGAUUGAGUGAGGGGAGAAGGGAAGAUGGUAAUCGAUUUUUCUUUUUUUUUUUCUUUUUUGUUUGUAAUCGGGCCGAAUGGGUUGGGUGGAGUGGCUUGAGUAGAGUAACCUUUCAUUUUUAGUUGGUUUGGGCUUUAUAUUUAGGCAUUAGUAGAUUUUUUUUAAAGUUUUAGCAUAAAUAGGACACUUACACAAAAGUGUUCCAAAUAUGUAUUUCUAUAACCCAAUUCUGUUGUAGUGCCGACGAAGGACACUAAGGAGCCCCCUCAAUG